GGAACACCUGGGGGCUGCUGAAUAGGAGAAUCCCAUCUGCUCCUCAGGAAAGGCCAAAAAGUGCCACAAGCUGGAGGAGGCUGGCCUGAGAUCCUGCCCAUCUCCCCAUAGCCCCGAAGCAGGACACUGGCUAGUCCUGGCACUCCCACUCUACAGGCAGCCCACUGCCCGAUGGACUGGGACCUGGCAGGUUCCUCUGCCCAUGGAAUUUUCCAAGCAAGAAUAUUGGAGUGGGAUGCCAUUUCCUACUCCAGGGGAUCUUCCCAAACCAGGGAUCCAACUCACAUCUCUUGUAUCUCCUGCAUUGACAGGUAGAUUCUUUACCACUGGCACCACCUGGGUAGCCUGUAAGGCCCACCAGACUCCUCUGUCCAUGGAAUUUUCCAGACAAGAAUACUGGAA
ensembl:lncRNA